GCUCCUCCGGCCAAAAGGGAAGAGAUGAAAAGGUCCCGGGGCUGGCAGCUGGCGAACUGACGGGAGGGGCGCCGGGAGCGCGGUGAGGGGGGCCGCCGAGGCUGACCUGGGCUGAAAUUUAUAUAUUUAAAGAAGGAGCGGUUCGGUCCUGCCUUCCACUGCGGCGCUGAGAGCAGGAGCAGCAGCAGCUCCGGAGCAGAGAAGCGCACACGUGUGUGCGUGCGUGUGUGUGUGUGUGUGUGUGUGUGCGUGUGCGCGCGCUGGGGGCGAGCCCAGCGCACCGCGGGGAGGAGGGUGCGCUUCGCAGGGCGCUCGGUACUCGGUCGGGUGCCGCAGGGGCCGCAGAGGCUGCUGAGGCGGCGCGGAUCCUGCUCUGGGAGCUGCGCUCCGUGGCCUACACCCUGGCGGGCGCGCGCUGACCCGCUUGGUUACUCCACGUUGCUGCCGCCGCCGCUUGCAAACGCUUCCAGCCUCCAGCUCCCUCCUUCUCCUGCUCCUCCUUCUCUUGCUCCAAACGCCAACCCAGCCACAGACGAUCAGCCGUCGCGGUUGCGUUCACCCCCUGCGGAUCACAACGGCAGCCCUUGCGACACCCUGGCUGGGGAGUUUUAUUCCUGAGGGGGUUGCGCAGGGGCUCCCUUGGACUCCCACCCUUUCCCAACCUCUGCUGGCUUCUCCCCAACGUGGAAUUGCUCGCUUAGGGAGCUUCUGGAGCUCCGCUCGGAGCGAACCUUCUGCUGCCAGCAGAUAACAUCACGAUCUUGCCGGGGAGGGGAGAUUUAUAAGUUCUCUCUGAACCACGUGUCUGCCUUCAACAAAGUGACGUGCUAGGAUUACAGUCAGAAGUCCUCUCGUUACUUAGACCACGAGCUCUCCCCGAACCGUUGAGGGAGUGUGGAAAUGAGGACCGCUGUGGGUAAGGGAGGAAGGAGGUGGAAUGUGCGCCCUGACAACAGUGAUUUACGUUACUCAAAGUCAACAUUUUCAUUUCGGCAUGACUCUGCAGCCAUACUGACCAGACAGAUGAUUUAAACUGGAAACUCUGUUGAAUGUACUCCCAAACCCAAGAUCUCUAUACUGUUCUCUACUUCAGAUGUUCCUGAGUUCAGAAAAGUCACAAAGAACUUUCUAUCACUUUUGGAAUUUAUACUUCAGUUGUGUAUGGGGCCUAGGUUAUUAGUAGAGCACUGAAUAAAUAAAAUAAUAAUAGCUAACAUAUACUACACUUAGUAAUUUGAUGUGUGUUGUGUAUGGUCAUUUAAUCUUCA
rnacentral:lncRNA from 1 species